rnacentral:rRNA from 1 species
CAGUCGCCACGGUAAUACGUAGGGCGCAAGCGUUAUCCGGAAUUAUUGGGCGUAAAGAGCUCGUAGGCGGUUUGUCGCGUCUGCCGUGAAAGUCCGGGGCUCAACCCCGGAUCUGCGGUGGGUACGGGCAGACUAGAGUGAUGUAGGGGAGACUGGAAUUCCUGGUGUAGCGGUGAAAUGCGCAGAUAUCAGGAGGAACACCGAUGGCGAAGGCAGGUCUCUGGGCAUUAACUGACGCUGAGGAGCGAAAGCAUGGGGAGCGAACAGGAUUAGAUACCCCUGUAGUCCCUGUCUCUUAUAA